UACGUAGGGGGCAAGCGUUGUCCGGAAUCAUUGGGCGUAAAGCGCGUGUAGGCGGUUCAGUAAGUCUGCUGUGAAAGUCCAGGGCUCAACCUCGAGACGCCGGUGGAAACCAUCAGGCUAGAGUCCGGAAGAGGAGAGUGGAAUUCCUGGUGUAGCGGUGAAAUGCGCAGAUAUCAGGAAGAACACCCGUGGCUAAGGCGGCUCUCUAGUACGGUACUGACGCUGAGACGCGAAAGCGUGGGGAGCGAACAGG
rnacentral:rRNA from 1 species